AUAAUGAUUAUAACAUGGUUGCUAUGAUGGUUGCUAUGGACGCUGAAACCAGCAGCUCGCAUGCCGUUAAAUCAUGGGUAUAAAACCAUUGUCUUUGCUGGUUAUGUAAGGGAUAAUGUAUAGAACAAUUAUUGCCUUCAGGCGAUAACGGCUUAUUUUAGAUAAUGACCGGCGACGCUCAUUGCACGGAUACUUGCCUAAACGAAAUACUAACUUCACAUGGUUGCUAGGGACGGGCUGAAAGACGCCGUGGGCACCUGUCCCAUUGGAAGUCAGAGGACCUGUCCCGGUAGUAGUGUAAUGUCCGUUUUUAGGUUUUUACCCUAACGAUGAUUUAAAAAAAAUAUCUGUGACGCUUCUUGCCCUUAACACAGCAUUGUAUCCUUGUUAUUUACACAAGCCAAUGUUACGUACAUCUUUUUCCGGAUUUUCCGAGCGUCGUCCUUGGCGGAAGUUGCAGUUUUCGCGCUACCAACCUCAGAAUGACAAAGCCAAAAACGAGGCUGUGCCCUUCCUGCCAGACCCCAAAUUGGCUGAGGAGGAAGACCUGUGCAAAUUGUGUCUGCCCUCUUCAGCAGAGUGGCAAAGAUUUGCAAAGUUGGGCAAAGUCUGUGAAGGCCAACAAAAACGCACACAGGACCUUGGAGUCGGCCCAUGUAUCGGUGAAUAAACUAAAUGCUCUUGGGUACUGCCCUUUGUUAUUUGUGGGACGACAUGGCCGAAAAGGAGAAUUCAACGGGGACAUGAUUCACCAUAUCCCGGUCAAUGAUGAGGUGGUGUGGGAAAUCCUGAAAAAAAUGGGCAAGCUGUUAGGGAAGCUGGAGGUGCAGGCAGAGCUGCAUCUCCGCCAGGGCGCAUCAACAGCUGUGCCUGGGCCAAUGGCGGACAGUGCUCGGUCUGGAGCAGGGCCAGGACCAGGACCAUCCUUCACCCCCUCUCAGCCUCCUCCCCCUCCACCCUUCACCCCUCUCAGCCUCCUCCCCCUCCAACCUUCACCCC
ensembl:lncRNA